UACGUAGGGGGCGAGCGUUGUCCGGAAUCAUUGGGCGUAAAGCGCGUGUAGGCGGCCCGACAAGUCUGGUGUGAAAUCUUGAGGCUCAACCUCAAGCUGUCAUUGGAAACUGUCGGGCUUGAGUCCGGAAGAGGAGAGUGGAAUUCCUGGUGUAGCGGUGGAAUGCGCAGAUAUCAGGAGGAACACCGGUGGCGAAGGCGGGUCUCUGGGCCGUAACUGACGCUGAGGAGCGAAAGCAUGGGGAGCGAACAGG
rnacentral:rRNA from 1 species